AGAGAGCUCCUUCAUGCCUUCGGCCAAAGGGGAAUUAUCUAUUUUUCCUUCCUUCCCGCUGUGCCCUGCAGAGGUAGGACCUUACUGGAAGCCUUCGGUGCAGAUGCCUGUGCUUUGUGAAGGGAGGACACCCUCCUGACAUUUCUGCCUGCUCCUUUAAUUCUCCUUGCAAAGUUUACAGUUAGUAUUUUCCCUGGAACGCUGUCAAGCCUGAGACAGCCCAAAUGUAUGCCGAGCUGUGAAAUCGAGCCGGAGAGAAGCAAGUUUGUGAGAAAUCUGUUUCUACUCAAAUCCGUGAGCUUCAUUAAAACACAAGCAGAGAAACAAAAACAAAAACAAGGAACUCAAGGGGCCGUGGCCGGCUGGGCCCCCGGCGCCAUUUCACGACCUGUGAGGCGACGACGCAGCCGUACAUGGCGCCGUGUUUACCCGCCGCAGCCAAUCAGCGCGCCGUGCCAAGCCACGUGACGUGCCACGAGGGCAGCACAGCCAUUUCCUUGUUCUGAAAAAGCUUGCUUCCUCCGCAGAGUUCUUUGCCUUGCGCUGCAUGCCAAAUGUGCCUGCAGAAUGUGUCUAGUGGACUGGCAUUUCUCCACAAAGUUAUUUCAGCAGGUAAAAAGUCUCUGCGCACUUGAGCUCGGAGCAUUCUUUAUGUAAAAUGGAUUUCCCUUCUUGGCCAGAGGCCAAGGGCACGGCGCACUGGCUGGGUGAGAAGAGCGCUUCUCUGCUGAGAAACUGGUGGACCGACACACUCUUAAUUUUUUGGCUUCUGACCAAACAAGCUAGAUGAAUGCCAAAAUUCAACAAAAUAACACAUUAUUGUGUGAUAGGAGCCAUGCUCCAAGAGAGCAGGAACUCAGAGGAACUUCACACUGGCUCCCCACCCCUCCCCCUUUUGUUUUUUGGCUUUAUUUUCUUAAAAAAUAAAAUAAAAUAAAAGCAUUGUCACUUUGGGGAGCUUUUGUAGGAAUAUGGCUAAAUGGGACCUAGAGAGUCGGGCUUUUAGCAAUAAACUUGAAGGAAGGAACUGAAAGAAAACAAGAGCUUAAAAUUACGUUCAUGAACUUUUCCCAGACAGAACACACAGUUCUCUUGACUUCGCGGAGCUGCGUUUAACCCUACAGACUCCGUAGAUGUGUCUGAGUUGAAAGCUGAAGGACUUGGCAUUAAAGUGAGAAUUCUGUGAGAUAUAGCUACAUUGUACAGAUUUCAAAAUAGAAGGAGAACUACAAAUGUCAAAUGCGGAGUUUUAGCUUUCCCAAACCAAAGACUGGUGAAAAUCUCAUGCUUUGUUAUGGUUUUUGUACCCUGCCCCCUCCAUCUGACUUUGUAAGUGAAUUGAGUCUGUUCUUCCUUGCUUGACUCCAUAAGCAAGUCUUGAAAGGCCUGUGCCUCAGUUCCCACAUACUCACCUUGAGGACAUUCAAGGAGAGAAUCAAGAUUCUUCCAGUCUAUAAAAAUGUUAGAAGCUAAGCUUGAAAAAUAAAACAGUAAAC
rnacentral:lncRNA from 1 species